CUACGGGGGGCUGCAGUGGGGAAUCUUGCACAAUGGAGGAAACUCUGAUGCAGCGAUGCCGCGUGAGUGAAGAAGGCCCUUGGGUUGUAAAGCUCUUUUGUCGGGAAAGAUAAUGACUGUACCCGAAGAAUAAGGUCCGGCUAACUUCGUGCCAGCAGCCGCGGUAAUACGAAGGGACCUAGCGUAAUUCGGAAUUACUGGGCGUAAGGCGCGCGUAGGCGGUUAAGUAAGUUAAUUGUGAAAGCCCAAAGCUCAACGUUGGAAUUGCAAUUAAAACUACUUAGCUAGAGUUUAUCAGAGGAAAGCGGAAUACAUAGUGUAGAGGUGAAAUUCGUAGAUAUUAUGUAGAACACCAGUUGCGAAGGCGGCUUUCUGGGAUAACACUGACGCUGAGGUGCGAAAGUAUGGGUAGCGAAGAGGAUUAGAUACCCCAGUAGUC
rnacentral:rRNA from 1 species